rnacentral:rRNA from 1 species
UACGUAGGGUGCAAGCGUUUGAUCCGGAAUUAUUGGGCGUAAAGAGCUCGUAGGCGGUUUGUCGCGUUCUGCUGUGAAACCCGAAGGCUCAACCUCGGGCCUGCAGUGGGUACGGGCAGACUAGAGUGGCGGUAGGGGAGAUUGGAAUUCCUGGUGUAGCGGUGGAAUGCGCAGAUAGUCAGGAGGAACACCAAUGGCGAAGGCAGAUCUCUGGGCCGUAACUGACGCUGAGGAGCGAAAGCAUGGGGAGCGAACAGG